GACGAACGCUGGCGGCGUGCCUAAUACAUGCAAGUCGAGCGGACGAAUCGAAAGCUUGCUUUUGAUUCGUUAGCGGCGGACGGGUGAGUAACACGUGGGCAACCUGCCCUGUAGACGGGGAUAACACCGAGAAAUCGGUGCUAAUACCGGAUAACACGAAAUGUCGCAUGACGUUUCGUUGGAAGACGGCGCAAGCUGUCGCUACAGGAUGGGCCCGCGGCGCAUUAGCUAGUUGGUGAGGUAACGGCUCACCAAGGCGACGAUGCGUAGCCGACCUGAGAGGGUGAUCGGCCACACUGGGACUGAGACACGGCCCAGACUCCUACGGGAGGCAGCAGUAAGGAAUCUUCCGCAAUGGACGAAAGUCUGACGGAGCAACGCCGCGUGAGCGAAGAAGGCCUUCGGGUCGUAAAGCUCUGUUGUUAGGGAAGAACAAGUAACGCAGUAACUGGCGUUACCGUGACGGUACCUAACGAGAAAGCCACGGCUAACUACGUG
rnacentral:rRNA from 1 species